GACGAACGCUGGCGGCGUGCUUAACACAUGCAAGUCGAACGCUGAAGCUCAGCUUUUGUUGGGUGGAUGAGUGGCGAACGGGUGAGUAACACGUGAGUAACCUGCCUCCUUCUUUGGGAUAACGCCCGGAAACGGGUGCUAAUACUGGAUAUUCACUGGUCUUCGCAUGGGGGUUGGUGGAAAGGGUUUUUCUGGUGGGGGAUGGGCUCGCGGCCUAUCAGCUUGUUGGUGGGGUGAUGGCCUACCAAGGGUUUGACGGGUACCAGGCCGGAGAGGGUGACCGGGCACAUGGGGACGGAGAGACGGCCCAGACUCGUACGGGAGGCAGCAGUGGGGAAUAGUGCACAAUGGGGGCAAGCCUGAUGCAGCGACGCCGCGUGAGGGAUGGAGGCCUUCGGGUUGGGAACCUCUUUCGCUCAUGGUCAAGCCGCAACAAUGGUUGUGGUGAGGGUAGUGGGUAAAGAAGCGCCGGCUAACUACGUG
rnacentral:rRNA from 1 species